rnacentral:rRNA from 1 species
AACGCGAAGAACCUUACCAGGUCUUGACAUCCUUUGACCACGCCAGAAAUGGCGCUUUCCCUUCGGGGACAAAGUGACAGGUGGUGCAUGGUUGUCGUCAGCUCGUGUCGUGAGAUGUUGGGUUAAGUCCCGCAACGAGCGCAACCCUUAUUACUAGUUGCCAGCAUUCAGUUGGGCACUCUAGUGAGACUGCCGGUGACAAACCGGAGGAAGGUGGGGAUGACGUCAAAUCAUCAUGCCCCUUAUGACCUGGGCUACACACGUGCUACAAUGGCAAGUACAACGAGUCGCUAACCCGCGAGGGUACGCAAAUCUCUUAAAGCUUGUCUCAGUUCGGAUUGUAGGCUGCAACUCGCCUACAUGAAGUCGGAAUCGCUAGUAAUCGCGGAUCAGCACGCCGCGGUGAAUACGUUCCCGGGUCUUGUACACACCGAAU